rnacentral:snRNA from 1 species
AAAAAGGGCGCGUCACAAGAAUUACUAACGGGGUUUUAACUUCGUUGGUAGCUCUUAUUUGUGACAAGAAUCAAUGUAUUCUUGCGGUAUGGCAAUCAAGACAUAUCGAGCGCAUAAUUUUUGUCUUGCAGAGUAGAUUCUCUUGGCUGCGCUUUU